CACACGACUCUCGGCAACGGAUAUCUCGGCUCUCGCAUCGAUGAAGAACGUAGCGAAAUGCGAUACCUGGUGUGAAUUGCAGAAUCCCGCGAACCAUCGAGUCUUUGAACGCAAGUUGCUUCCGAGGCCACUCGGCCGAGGGCACGCCUGCCUGGGCGUCACGC
rnacentral:rRNA from 1 species